GACGAACGCUGGCGGCGUGCUUAACACAUGCAAGUCGAACGGAAAGGCCUGCUUUCCCUUGUGGAUUGCGGGUACUCGCGUGGCGAACGGGUGAGUAACACGUGAGUGAUCUGCCCCCAACUUGGGUAUAAGCCUGGGAAACUGGGUCUAAUUCCCGAUAGGACUGCAGGGUGGUUCCUGUGGUGGAAAACGAUUUUCUAGUGGUUGGGGAUGAGCUCGCGGCCUAUCAGCUUGUUGGUGGGGUAAUGGCCUACCAAGGCGGCGACGGGUAGCCGGCCUGGGAGGGUGGACGGCCACAUUGGGACUGAGAUACGGCCCAGACGCCUACGGGCGGCAGCAGUGGGGAGGAUGGCACAAUGGGCGUAAGCCUGAUGCAGCGACGCCGCGUGGGGGAUGCCGGGCUUCGGGUGGUAAACUCCUUUCGACCGAGAGGAAGCCACCUGGUUGGAAGGGUGGUGACGGUAGUGGUAGAAGAAGCACCGGCUAACUACGUG
rnacentral:rRNA from 1 species